rnacentral:rRNA from 1 species
UACAGAGGGUGCAAGCGUUAAUCGGAGUUACUGGGCGUAAAGGGCGCGUAGGCGGAUUGUUAAGUUGGAUGUGAAAUCCCUGGGCUUAACCUAGGAAUGGCAUUCAAAACUGGCGAUCUGGAGUACUGUAGAGGGUAGUGGAAUUUCCGGUGUAGCGGUGAAAUGCGUAGAGAUCGGAAGGAACACCAGUGGCGAAGGCGGCUACCUGGACAGAUACUGACGCUGAGGCGCGAGAGCGUGGGGAGCAAACAGG